rnacentral:rRNA from 1 species
GAUGAACGCUGGCGGCAUGCCUAACACAUGCAAGUCGAACGAACACACCAGGAGCUUUCUCCCCUGACGUUGGCGGCGGACGGAUGAGUAACACGUGGAUAACAUACCUCUACGACUGGGAUGAUUACGGGAAACCAUAUCUACUACCGGAUAAUAUAUUGAACUGCAUGGUGCAAUAGUUAAAUACGGUUUUUGUGACACUAAAAGACGAAUCCGGGGCGGAUUAGUUAGUUGGUACGGUAACGGCUUAGCAACGCUACGAUGCGAACCCGACCUCAAAGGGUGAUCGCCUACACUGGAACUGAGACACGGCCCAGACUCCUACGGGAGGAAGCAGUAGAGAAUCUUCCGCAAUGGGGGAAUGCCUGACAUAGCAACACCGCGUGAGUGAUGAAGGUGUUCGGAUCGGAAAGCUCUGUUGGUCGGAAAGAAGAAAAGCGUUAUUAACCAUGAAGGUCUUGACGGUACCUAAACAAUAAGCCACGGCUAACUCCGUG